AUCCCCUAGGGAUCUUGCUAAAUUGCAGAUUCUGAUUUGGUAGUUUUGUGGUGGGCCCUGAGAUUCUGCAUUUCUAACAAGCUCCCAGGUGGCGCUAC
rnacentral:pre_miRNA from 1 species